rnacentral:lncRNA from 1 species
AUAAAAUUGAGAAUGGAAAUGGGGAAUGUGCCAAAGAGACAACAGCCCGACCAUAGAGCAGACAACAGCAGAAGGUCACCAACAGGUCUGCAAUGCAACGAGAAAUUCUCGCACCCGGAGGCGUCCUUCAGCUGGCCCCUAAACAAAUAUAUACUGGUUCAGUGAUAAUGAACACCAUACUAAACUCCAAAUUGUACACAAGAAUCUAAAAGUUAAAAUAAUACAAGAC